rnacentral:rRNA from 1 species
ACGCUGGCGGCGUGCCUAAUACAUGCAAGUAGAACGCUGAAGAGAGGAGCUUGCUCUUCUUGGAUGAGUUGCGAACGGGUGAGUAACGCGUAGGUAACCUGCCUUGUAGCGGGGGAUAACUAUUGGAAACGAUAGCUAAUACCGCAUAACAAUGGAUGACACAUGUCAUUUAUUUGAAAGGGGCAAUUGCUCCACUACAAGAUGGACCUGCGUUGUAUUAGCUAGUAGGUGAGGUAACGGCUCACCUAGGCGACGAUACAUAGCCGACCUGAGAGGGUGAUCGGCCACACUGGGACUGAGACACGGCCCAGACUCCUACGGGAGGCAGCAGUAGGGAAUCUUCGGCAAUGGGGGCAACCCUGACCGAGCAACGCCGCGUGAGUGAAGAAGGUUUUCGGAUCGUAAAGCUCUGUUGUAAGUCAAGAGCGAGUGUGAGAGUGGAAAGUUCACACUGUGACGGUAGCUUACCAGAAAGGGACGGCUAACUACGUGCCAGCAGCCGCGGUAAUACGUAGGUCCCGAGCGUUGUCCGGAUUUAUUGGGCGUAAAGCGAGCGCAGGCGGUUUGAUAAGUCUGAAGUUAAAGGCUGUGGCUCAACCAUAGUUCGCUUUGGAAACUGUCAAACUUGAGUGCAGAAGGGGAGAGUGGAAUUCCAUGUGUAGCGGUGAAAUGCGUAGAUAUAUGGAGGAACACCGGUGGCGAAAGCGGCUCUCUGGUCUGUAACUGACGCUGAGGCUCGAAAGCGUGGGGAGCGAACAGGAUUAGAUACCCUGGUAGUCCACGCCGUAAACGAUGAGUGCUAGGUGUUGGAUCCUUUCCGGGAUUCAGUGCCGCAGCUAACGCAUUAAGCACUCCGCCUGGGGAGUACGACCGCAAGGUUGAAACUCAAAGGAAUUGACGGGGGCCCGCA